GUUUACAGGUGUGAGCCACGGAGUCCAGCCUCCCUUUAGGUACUUUAAAGAUUCUGCUCUAUUGUCUUUUCACUUGCAUUUCUUAUCCUUGCCUCUCUGUCCCUGGCAUGUUUGGUUGCUUUUUUCCUCUAGAUAUUCUCCUUCCCCCAAAUACCCAGUAGCACAGAUUUUGAAUGAGUAUGAUGUGUCUUAAUGUAGUUUUCUUUAUUUUUUUUUCUGUGUUUGGAGUUUGCUGAGCUUGUUGGAUCUCUGGGUUUAUAGUUUUCAUCAGAUUUUGAAAUGUUUUCAUUCAAUAUUUCUUCAAGUAGUUUUUUUCUGACUACCUCUCUUCUUUUGGGGACUUCAUUUUUAUGUAUAAAAGGCCUCUUGAAAUUGUCCCAUAGCUCACUGAUGCUCUGUGUAUUUUUUCCAGCCUUUUACUUUCUGUAUUUCCAUUUUGUUUUGUUUCUAUUGUGAUGUCUUCAAUUUCACUAAUGUUUUCUUCCACAGUUUCUAAUGUGUUCUUUUUUGUUUUUUAAGCACCUUGUCAUGUGAACAGAUAAUCUACUCUUAAUCCCAUCCAGUGUACUUUUUGUUGUAGAUAUUGUAAUUUUCAAUUCUAGAAUUUCGAUUUGGGUCUGUAUGUUCUUUGAAUAUGCAGAAUAUAAUUAUAAGGACUGUU
rnacentral:lncRNA from 1 species